ensembl:lncRNA
CUUAGACGGAACCCCUGUGGCCUGUGAUAGUCUCUCGCUUGUGGAGGGGCUGGGUUGGUGGACAGCAGGCUCAGGACCCCUUGGCUUUGCUGAGGGAAGUUCCAGUGCCUCUCUCUUUCUGCGGAGCGCCCCCCGCAAGGAAUCUUCUCAUUAAGAUAAAAUUGGGCAUUUUCAAGACCCCCCCAAAGCUAAAAUAGGAGUAGUAUGGUUUCAAAAUCCAAGGGAGUGUGAAUCUCACUGCUGAGGGAUGCGACAUCCUUAUGUCAACUACUUUGCUAAAGAAGAUUUCUCGUUGGAAGACUUGCUUCAGCAAAGCUGCUAGAGUCAACAUUCUCUUUUCAAGUAUUCAGCUCUACUGAAAUUUCAGCUCUACUAGAGUUCAGUGUGAUCUACUCCGGGGAGCCCACCCUGACCACUUACACCGGGUGCAAACAAGUGUGGUAUAUUGCAGCGAAGGUCAAGGGGAUGCAUGAGCAUCGAAUUGAAUGAGAUCUCAGGAUUCAUCAGAACCAGAAGCUAGAAGGAUUGGCCCGCACUCUUGCCCUUCCACUAGCAUUUGCUGGUUGCCACUUUACAUUGGACAACAAUUUCUUAGAGUGUAAGAAAACCCUUGUAUCUUCAGUCUUUAUCACAGAGAUGAGGAAACUACUAUCUAGAGAGGUUUAUUAGACAGUCCCACAUAUUGGAUAAUGUUACCCAGGACUUUGCUGACAUCAUUUUAUUAAUUCCUACAAUAGCUCUGGGAAUUAAGCGAACCAUCCACAGUUUCACAGGACUAGUGAAUCCUGAAUUUAAGUUUACCAAACCACCCAAUUAUAGGAAUCACCUGAAGUUCUUUGAAAAGAUGGAUCAAACAGCCCUAUCUAUGAUAUAAAAAGUAAAAGUCUCCAGAGGAGAGACCCUGAUUGUGUUUUAAAUCAUUGCUCAGAAAAUGGCCAUGGCAGUAAUGUCCACUUCAUAAAGCGUUCUGACGAUGAAAAUCAGACAGUGCGUGUUAAGUGCUCAGUGCAGUGCCUGAGCUUGCUGUUUGGCCACAAGAACUGUAGCUUGUAGCAUGAGAAGAUGCUACUUAUUU